UACGUAGGUGACCAGCGUUGUCCGGAUUUACUGGGCGUAAAGAGCGCGCAGGCGGUCGUUCAAGUCGAGUGUGAAAGCCCCCGGCUCAACUGGGGAGGGUCACGCGAUACUGAUCGACUCGAAGGCAGGAGAGGGUAGUGGAAUUCCCGGUGUAGUGGUGGAAAUGCGUAGAUAUCGGGAGGAACACCAGUGGCGAAGGCGGCCAACUGGCCCGACCCUGACGCUGAGGCGCGAAGG
rnacentral:rRNA from 1 species